rnacentral:rRNA from 1 species
UACAGAGGGUGCAAGCGUUAAUCGGAAUUACUGGGCGUAAAGCGUGCGUAGUCGGUUAUCUAAGUCGGGUGUGAAAUCCCCGGGCUCAACCUGGGAAUUGCAUUCGAUACUGGAUAGCUAGAGUUCGGCAGAGGGAAGCGGAAUUUCGGGUGUAGCGGUGAAAUGCGUAGAUAUCGGGAGGAACACCGGUGGCGAAGGCGGUUCUCUGGGCCUGACCUGACGCUGAGGAGCGAAAGCCAGGGGAGCAAACGGG